GGCACGGACGGGAGCACCUGGAUUACUGACGAGGUGCGCUGACGGGUGACCGGUCGUGACC
rnacentral:SRP_RNA from 14 species